UACGUAGGCAGCAAGCGUUGUUCGGAGUUACUGGGCGUAAAGCGUGCGUAGGCGGUUUGUUAAGUCCGUUGUGAAAGCCCUGGGCUCAACCUGGGAAUUGCAGUGGAUACUGGCGAGCUAGAGUGCGGUAGAGGAUGGUGGAAUUCCCGGUGUAGCGGUGAAAUGCGUAGAGAUCGGGAGGAACACCCGUGGCGAAGGCGGCCAUCUGGACCAGCACUGACGCUGAGGCACGAAAGCGUGGGGAGCAAACAGG
rnacentral:rRNA from 1 species